rnacentral:rRNA from 1 species
UACGUAGGAUGCAAGCGUUGUCCGGAUUUACUGGGCGUAAAGGGCGCGCAGGCGGCACUACAAGUACUGGGUGAAAUCUCCCUGCUCAACGGGGAGGGUGCUUAGUAGACUGUAGAGCUAGAGGUGGGUAGAGGGUGGUGGAAUUGCUGGUGUAGCGGUGAAAUGCGUAGAGAUCGGAAAGAACACCAACGGCGAAAGCACUCUGCUGGGCCGACACUGACACUGAGAGACGAAAGCUAGGGGAGCGAAUGGG